rnacentral:lncRNA from 1 species
CUUAUACACACCUACAGAGUAAAUUUAAUUUCUGUAUGGCUCUAAACACUUUGGGUAAAUUUUUUCUCAGUUUUUGUUUUUUAUUAGUACACAUUUGCAUUACAUAAUGAUUGCAUUCCUUGUAGGGAGUUGGUACAUGUACAAAACACACCUCAAUUCCUUUUGUUCAUCCUCUUUCCCUGCCUUUCUUCUCACUCUUUUUAAAAAUUAAGAAGCUCACUAAUUUAAAUAAUAGAGAUAAAAAUACGGUAUUUAUGAGAACACAAAUUUUAGGCUUUUCUGAUGUCCAUAAAAUACAUUAUAUGUGUGUGUGUACGUGCAGAAUAUAUAAAAUAAUAUACAACUCUUUUUUCAUGAACAGGAAGUUCCCUAGUGUAAAGCAGUUGACGGUCUCUGGCAUUGCCUUAACUGUGCCUUUCUCGGUUGGACAAGAAGCCAGUACAUUGACCCUCCUACCUGCUUACCCUGGUGAAGGAAAAUAUGGGAAAUACCACUGGCUGCAGCAGCAGUUCUUUGAAUCAGAAUGUCCGCUAGCCUUGCAGAGAAAUCUAAGGUCAUUCUGCCUACGGGUUACAGAUUGUACCAUGAACUGUGAGCGAGUGGAAGCAAGAAGAAUAAUUAGCAGGUUCUUUAACAUCUUAGUUUGACUGAAGGUGAUUGCAGUUGAGGUCUUAAGCAGUGGGCACAUUUUUUUUCCAACACUGCUAUCUAAACCAGGGACUUAUGCAUGUUAGCAAGUCUCCACCACUGAGCUUCAUCUUCUACAUGUGAAGACUAGAUGCCAAAGUAGAGAAAUUGGCCAUUAAUG